UUAUCAGUAAUUUAAAUAGAAAAAUAAUAGACUUCGGAUUUAUAAAUACAAGUUCAACUCCUGCCUGAUAUU
rnacentral:tRNA from 1 species